AACCUUGUUUCUGUUGCCAUUAUUUUUACAGCAUUAUAUUUUUUUCAGCAUUCCAUAUUUUUCUUCAGCAAUUUAUUUCCUUUGUUAGUUUAAUUUUUUAGGCAUUCAAUUAAUUUUCUCACAAUAGUUUCUACACCGGAAACUAUUGUGUAACUUUAACUAGAUCUAACCUUACGUUAGAUCAUAGUAUUUUAUUCCUUCGCCUUUAUUUUACUGUCUGAUCGAAGAUUG
rnacentral:lncRNA from 1 species